GAGUUUGAUCCUGGUUCAGGACGAACGCUGGCGGCGUGCGUAAUACAUGCAAGUCGAGCGGACCUUCGGGUCAGCGGCGGACGGGUGAGGAACACGUGAGUCAUCUGUCGGUGGGUGGGGGAUAUCGGGCCGAAAGGCGCGGCAAUCCCGCAUACGUUCCUUCGGGAAGAAAGCUGGGCAACUGGCGCCCGCCGGGGAGCUCGCGGCCCAUUAGCUAGUUGGUAGGGUAACAGCCUCCCAAGGCGACGAUGGGUAGCCGGCCUGAGAGGGUGAACGGCCACACUGGGACUGAGACACGGCCCAGACUCCUACGGGAGGCAGCAGUAGGGAAUCUUCCACAAUGGGCGCAAGCCUGAUGGAGCAACGCCGCGUGAGUGAAGACGGCCUUCGGGUUGUAAAGCUCUGUCUGUCGGGACGAAGACCGGGACGGGAGUCCCGGGGAGCCGGUACCGACGAAGGAAGCCCCUGCAAACUACGUGCCAGCAGCCGCGGUAAGACGUAGGGGGCAAGCGUUGUCCGGAAUUACUGGGCGUAAAGGGCGUGUAGGCGGUGCGAUACGUAGCGGUUUUAAGCCUCCGGCUCACCCGGAGGAGGGCGGCUAAACGGUCGCACUGGAGGGCAGGAGAGGUGCGUGGAAUUCCUGGUGGAGCGGUGAA
rnacentral:rRNA from 1 species